rnacentral:rRNA from 1 species
UACGGAGGGUGCGAGCGUUAAUCGGAAUUACUGGGCGUAAAGCGUGCGCAGGCGGUUCUCCAAGUCCGUUGUGAAAGCCCCGGGCUCAACCUGGGAAUGGCAGUGGAAACUAGGGGACUUGAAUCUGGCAGAGGGGGGUGGAAUGCCACGUGUAGCAGUGAAAUGCGUAGAGAUGUGGCGGAACACCGAUGGCGAAGGCAGCCCCCUGGGCUGAGAUUGACGCUCAGGCACGAAAGCGUGGGGAGCAAACAGG